rnacentral:rRNA from 1 species
UAGGGAAUCUUCCGCAAUGGACGCAAGUCUGACGGAGCAACGCCGCGUGAGUGAAGAAGGAUUUCGGUUCGUAAAACUCUGUUGUUAGAGAAGAACAGCGCAUAGAGUAACUGUUAUGCGUGUGACGGUAUCUAACCAGAAAGCCACGGCUAACUACGUGCCAGCAGCCGCGGUAAUACGUAGGUGGCAAGCGUUGUCCGGAUUUAUUGGGCGUAAAGCGAGCGUAGGCGGUCAAUUAAGUCUGAUGUGAAAGCCCCCGGCUCAACCGGGGAGGGUCAAUGGAAACUGUUUGACUUGAGUGCAGAAGAGGAGAGUGGAAUUCCAUGUGUAGCGGUGAAAUGCGUAGAUAUAUGGAGGAACACCAGUGGCGAAGGCGACUCUCUGGUCUGUAACUGACGCUGAGGUUCGAAAGCGUGGGUAGCAAACAGG